CCCGAUAGAACACCUUUGGGAUGAAUUAGAGCGGAGACUAAGAGCCAGGCCUUCUCGUCCAACAUCAGUGUGUGACCUCACAAAUGCGCUUCUGGAAGAAUGGUCAAAAAUUCCCAUAAACACACUCCUAAACCUUGUGGACAGCCUUCCCAGAAGAGUUGAAGCUGUUAUAGCUGCAAAGGGUGGAUCGACGUCAUAUUGAACCCUAUGGAUUAGGAAUGGGAUGUCACUUAAGUUCAUAUGCGAGUAUAGGCAGGUGAGCGAAUACUUUUGGCAAUAUAGUGUAUUUAAACUCCUGAGCGGUUAUGGACUUGGAGGAAACAACGUGCUGCCUGCUGUGAUGACCAGGAACAUGGUGAGAUUCUAAACUCUUUAAACUCCAAAAUUGUAUUGUAAUUUUUUGUUUGGCAUUUUUGUUUUUUGGGCAGUGGCAGUAAAAACACAGUGGAGAGAGAUGGGAUGAUUUGCAGCAAAGGGCCUGAGCUGGAACUGAAGCUUGACUGCCUGAAGAACAGUACAGUAUGUGGUACAAGUUCUACCAGUUGUUCUUGAAAUACACCUCAUCAAUCUCUUUCCUGUUCUACAAAUCAUCCCUUUUGAUCAGAUGCUGGUCUUGUCCAGGAUAAAUAUUGAGAGGAUCAGAUCAGCCCAUCGUGGACAACAUGCAAGUCCUCAUGCUGAACUAGUGACAGUACAUGCUGUAGCUUCCAGUUUCUCGAACAUCAUGUCCAAGUCUAUCCCAUAUCUUCACACAAGUCUGGACUCAGUGACCUAUUCCUCUUGUUCAACCAGGGCAAGUAAGCCCUGAUACAUAAUGUUAUUUCACCAUGGAUUAUCCAUCAUAUGGACAUGUGCUGUUUCUUCAAGAUUUCAUUACUAAUUUGUGUGUAUUGGACAAGGUAUUUGAUCAAUUCAAACUGUUCUUAACACUGAAUAUGUACAUGUGUUUUCUUGCU